AUUGAACGCUGGCGGCAUGCCUUACACAUGCAAGUCGAACGGUAACGCGGGGCAACCUGGCGACGAGUGGCGAACGGGCGAGUAAUACAUCGGAACGUGCCCAGUAGUGGGGGAUAGCCCGGCGAAAGCCGGAUUAAUACCGCAUACGACCUACGGGUGAAAGCAGGGGAUCGCAAGACCUUGCGCUACUGGAGCGGCCGAUGUCAGAUUAGGUAGUUGGUGGGGUAAAAGCCUACCAAGCCUACGAUCUGUAGCUGGUCUGAGAGGACGACCAGCCACACUGGGACUGAGACACGGCCCAGACUCCUACGGGAGGCAGCAGUGGGGAAUUUUGGACAAUGGGCGCAAGCCUGAUCCAGCCAUGCCGCGUGCGGGAAGAAGGCCU
rnacentral:rRNA from 1 species